UCUUUUCCUCUCUUUUAGAAAUUUUUGAACUUUUCUCGGAUGUAAGCUUUAAAUACUUUCAAACUUGUGAUUUUUCACUUCAAAAGAGUAUUUAUAAUCACUAUUUAUAGUUAAAAAUAUCUUAGUAUCGGUUUAGAGCCAUUGGAGAGUGUUUAAUGCAUAUUUAAUACAUAAAAAAUGAGCUAAAAACUAGCCAUUACACGUGCUCGCAGGAAUGGGACAUCCCACUGGC
rnacentral:lncRNA from 1 species